CGGACGGGUGAGUAAUACUUAGGAAUCUGCCCAUUAGUGGGGGACAACUAGAAGAAAUUCUAGCUAAUACCGCAUACGCCCUACGGGGGAAAGCGGGGGAUCUUCGGACCUCGCGCUAAUGGAUGAGCCUAAGUCGGAUUAGCUUGUUGGUGAGGUAAUGGCUCACCAAGGCGACGAUCCGUAGCUGGUCUGAGAGGACGAUCAGCCACACUGGGACUGAGACACGGCCCAGACUCCUACGGGAGGCAGCAGUGGGGAAUAUUGGACAAUGGGCGCAAGCCUGAUCCAGCAAUGCCGCGUGUGUGAAGAAGGCCUGCGGGUUGUAAAGCACUUUCAGUAGAGAAGAAAAGCCUACGGUUAAUAACCGUGAGUCUUGACGUAACCUACAGAAGAAGCACCGGCUAACUCCGUGCCAGCAGCCGCGGUAAUACGGAGGGUGCGAGCGUUAAUCGGAAUUACUGGGGCGUAAAGCGCGCGUAGGCGGCUUUGUCAGUCGGAUGUGAAAGCCCCGGGGCUUAACCUGGGAAUUGCAUUCGAUACUGCAGAGCUAGAGUAUGGUAGAGGGAAGUGGGAAUUUCCGGGUGUAGCGGUGAAAUGCGUAAAUUAUCCGGGAGGAACCCCAGUGGCGAAAGCGACUUCCUGGGCCAAUACUGACGCUGAGUGCGAAAGCGUGGGGAGCAAACAGGAUUAGAUACCC
rnacentral:rRNA from 1 species